rnacentral:lncRNA from 1 species
UAACUUGUUUAUUGCCCCUGUCAUCAGUAUUUGAAAUCAUUUUAUUUGCUUGAAGAUUUUUUUUUCAUGCUCCCAUUAAGAAGAAAAUUCCUUCACGACUUGCCGUAUAGCCUGACACUUGGUAGGUGCUCACUAAAUACCCGGGAGGUGGAGGUUGCAGUGAGCCGAGAUCACACCACUGCACUCCAGCCCGGUGACACAGCGAGACUCUGUGUCAAACAAAAAAAAAAGAAAAAAGAAAAAGAAAAAUACCUGCAAUUCUUGGUAGAGAUAAAAGGUGUCACCAUCUCCCCUCCAAAACCCUUACUCAUUAGCAGUCAUUUCUCAUUCCCACCUUUCCCCUCCCUCAAGCUUUCCCCCCACGCCCUGCCAAUCCCUAGGCAACCACUAAUUUACUUUUUGUCGUUAAGGAACAAAUCUAUACUCUGUUGCCCAGGCUGGAAUACAGUGGCUUGCUCGCAGCUCACUGCAACCUCCACCUUCCAGGUUCAAAUGAUUCUCCUGCCCUAGCCUCCUGAGUAGCUGAUCUUAAGGAACAUUAAAGCCUGGUACUUAAAAUGCUCUAAAUGUUAUUUUGUCAGAUCUCUGUUUUUCAAGGUGAAAACAGGCUUAGUUUUCUAGUAAUUAAUGUUUAUACCAAGAAGCAUGAAAACAGAUCUUUCUCUGAAACAUGAAUUUUCACAAAUUUUGCUUACUAGUAUUGUGCUAUGCACUUACCUUUACUAAGUGCAGGAUGAUUUUGUUUUUAUUUUCAAUUUGAGACCAUGAUGAAAUUAGUCCAUAUUUAUAUCAUGUUUUUAAUGAGCCAUGGUAGUUGAAAAUUAAUCUAUUUAAAGUUAAGUAUGUGAAGCUGGCCUGAUUAAAAUGUAUCAGGUUGUCACAGUACUCAGCUGGAUAUUUAAAAAAUAAUGCCCUCAAGACAAAAGCUUGUGGUUCAUGUUACAACAAAGAUGAAAAUACAGGUAUACUUCUGAAGUUAAUCCAUUGUUAGUAACUACCAAGUGUUUUUUCUUAAACAGUUUUAAAAUAAGCCCCAUAUUUUAUGUCUUAUACAUUCUCUCUCUGUACAACAGCAGCAUUCUCCUACAUGUAGUUACCACACUUAAGAAAUUUAAUAUUGAUAAAUAUUAUCUAAUAAUAUAAACUACAUGUUUAAAUUUCCUAAUUGUGUCCAAAAUAUCUCUUAUAGUUGUUUUCUUUUUAACCAUUUCAGGAUCCAAUCAUGAAUCCCAGACUAAACAUAUUCAGCUUAGUUGUCAUGUCUCCUUUAAUCUACAACAGCUCUUGAUUCUUUUUUUCCUACUUUGUGCAUUUCUGUGUUUCAGUUUAAUAAUUUCUAUUCCUUUGUCUUCACAUUUACUGAUCCUUUAUUCUACAAUGUCUAUAAUCUUUUAAGCCCACCUAGUGAACUUUUCAUAUUGUAUCUCUUUUAUCUAGGAGUUUCACUUGGAUCUUUAAAAUGUGUGUGUAUGUGUGUGUGUAUGUAUCAUCCAUUUCUCUGAGCCUUAUGUUUAUAUUCUCCUUCAAAUCCUUGAACGUAAUUUAUAAUUUUAUGUCUUUAUAUUACAUGUAAAUGUAUUCUUAUAAUAAUAAAUUAUAAUUUAUAGCUGUUUUAAAAUCCUUGUCUGCUAUUCAUAAUUCCGUAUCCAUGUAAUUUCUGGGUCUGUUUCUGUUGAAUGGUUUUUCUCAUGGUUAUGGGUCACAUUUUCUUGCUUCUUGGCGUGUCUACCUUUUUUUUUUUCAACUUUCAUUUUUUAAGUUCUGGGGUACAUGUACAGGAUGUGCAGGUUUGGUACAUAGGUAAAC